rnacentral:misc_RNA from 1 species
AAGGAUCAUUAUUGAAUAAACUUGGUUGGGUUGUUGCUGGCUUUUCGGAGCAUGUGCACGCCUAGCGCCAUUUUUUACCACCUGUGCACUUUUUUGUAGAUUUGAAACAUCUCUCGAGGCAACUCGGUUUGAGGAAUGCUAUGCGAAAGCUAAGCUUUCCUUGCGUUUCAGGUCUAUGUUUUUAUAUACCCCAAAAGAAUGUUUUAGAAUGUCAUUAAUGGGCUUCAUUGCCUCUAAAUUAAUACAACUUUCAACAACGGAUCUCUUGGCUCUC